rnacentral:rRNA from 1 species
CCUACGGGUGGCAGCAGUGGGGAAUAUUGCACAAUGGGGGAAACCCUGAUGCAGCGACGCCGCGUGAGUGAAGAAGUAUUUCGGUACGUAAAGCUCUAUCAGCAGGGAAGAAAAAAAGUCCUUUGGACUUUGGACGGUACCUGACCAAGAAGCCCCGGCUAACUACGUGCCAGCAGCCGCGGUAAUACGUAGGGGGCAAGCGUUAUCCGGAUUUACUGGGUGGAAAGGGAGCGUAGACGGCAGCGCAAGUCUGGAGUGAAAUGCCGGGGCCCAACCCCGGAACUGCUUUGGAAACUGUGCAGCUGGAGUGCAGGAGAGGUAAGCGGAAUUCCUAGUGUAGCGGUGGAAUGCGUAGAUAUUAGGAGGAACAUCAGUGGCGAAGGCGACUUUCUGGACUGUAACUGACGCUGAGGCACGAAAGUGUGGGGAGCAAACAGGAUUAGAUACCCGUGUAGUC